UACAGAGGUGCCGAGCGUUAGGCGGAAUCACUGGGCUUAAAGCGUGUGUAGGCGGAUGCCUAAGUACCUUGUGAAAUCCCACGGCUCACCCGUGGAACGGCUGGGUAUACUGGGUGUCUUGAGCCACUUAGGGGCUGCCGGAACAAAUGGUGGAGCGGUGAAAUGCGUAGAUAUCAUCUGGAACGCCGAAGGUGAAAACAGCUCGCUGGGGCUGCGCUGACGCUGAGACACGAAAGCCAGGGGAGCGAACGGG
rnacentral:rRNA from 1 species